rnacentral:rRNA from 1 species
AUUGAACGCUGGCGGCAUGCUUUACACAUGCAAGUCGAACGGUAGAGGGGGCAACCCCUUGAGAGUGGCGAACGGGUGAGUAAUGCAUCGGAACGUGCCCAGUCGUGGGGGAUAACGCAGCGAAAGCUGUGCUAAUACCGCAUACGAUCUCUGGAUGAAAGCGGGGGACCGAAAGGCCUCGCGCGAUUGGAGCGGCCGAUGUCAGAUUAGGUAGUUGGUGGGGUAAAGGCUCACCAAGCCAACGAUCUGUAGCUGGUCUGAGAGGACGACCAGCCACACUGGGACUGAGAAACGGCCCAGACUCCUACGGGAGGCAGCAGUGGGGAAUUUUGGACAAUGGGCGCAAGCCUGAUCCAGCAAUGCCGCGUGCAGGAAGAAGGCCUUCGGGUUGUAAACUGCUUUUGUACGGAACGAAACGGUCCGGGUUAAUACCCUGGGCUAAUGACGGUACCGUAAGAAUAAGCACCGGCUAACUACGUGCCAGCCGCCGCCGUAA